AAUCAGACCAAGGCGGUUCCUUUGUGCUAUUCAAAUACCGAACGGACCCCGGGCCUCCAACGCCGCUGCUGCCUCGAAUGUUCUCCUGGGGCCGCGGCACCGCGUGGGACUCGGAGCUUCCUAGGUAGCCGCCCACAGCGUCGGUCGUCUCUCGGGAACCACGUUGAGGACUGCGGCUACCCUGGACCUGGCUCCCGCGAGCUGGGGGUCGGCUCACCUGAGCGCCGCGGAGAUGGCUCCGCCCCCUUCCGCACCGUUGGGCCUCACCUGCAGCAGGUGCGCGCGGUUCCCCGCUCCGGGCCACGCGGCGCCUCCUCUUUCUCACCUGCUAAGGCCAGGGGAAUCUGGGAGAGGGAGUCCAGGGGUCGAGUGACUCCUCACCUGGACCCACUGAUACCUGAGUGGCUGCAGCAUGGAGAUACUCCAGUGCUAUUGCCCCUCCAUCUACUGCUGGAACACUCCAGAAAGGAGUCACCUGUCCAGGCCACAUGGCUGGGAGAUCUUUCCUGAUCAUCUUGCUGCUUUUCCAGCAGGGGAGGAAGUGAGUUCUCAGGCUGGUCUGGAACUCACAGAGAUCCUCCUGCUUCUGCCUCCGGAGUGCUGGGAUUAAACGCGUGCGCCACCAAGGCCCAGUAAUGAACUGAUUACUUAUGGGGUACCUAUGACAUGUCUGCUGUCACCUGGUGACUCUGGGAAAAGCUGCUUUGUGUCAAGUGACUGGUCAUGUGAUGCCACGCAGUGCCUCCUCUGCAGUCUCUCAUGCAAGCCCUCCAACACUGUCAUCACUGCGCUAGAAGCUUCUGGAACCUUUCUUG
rnacentral:lncRNA from 1 species